GAUGAACGCUGGCGGCGUGCCUAAUACAUGCAAGUCGAGCGAAUGGAUUAAGAGCUUGCUCUUAUGAAGUUAGCGGCGGACGGGUGAGUAACACGUGGGUAACCUGCCCAUAAGACUGGGAUAACUCCGGGAAACCGGGGCUAAUACCGGAUAACAUUUUGAACCGCAUGGUUCGAAAUUGAAAGGCGGCUUCGGCUGUCACUUAUGGAUGGACCCGCGUCGCAUUAGCUAGUUGGUGAGGUAACGGCGCACCAAGGCAACGAUGAGUAGACGGGCUGAGAGGGUGAUCGGCCACACUGGGACUGAGACACGGCCCAGACUCCUACGGGAGGCAGCAGUAGGGAAUCUUCCGCAAUGGACGAAAGUCUGACGGAGCAACGCCGCGUGAGUGAUGAAGGCUUUCGGGUCGUAAAACUCUGUUGUUAGGGAAGAACAAGUGCUAGUUGAAUAAGCUGACACCUUGACGGUACCUACCAGAAAGCCACGGCUAACUACGUGCCAGCCGCCGCGGUAA
rnacentral:rRNA from 1 species